ACGAAUCGCAUGGCCUUGCGCGGCGAUGGUUCAUUCAAAUUUCUGCCCUAUCAACUUUCGAUGGUAGGAUAGUGGCCUACAUGGUGGCAACGGGUAACGGGGAAUAGGGUUCGAUUCCGGAGAGGGAGCCUGAGAAACGGCUACCACAUCCAAGGAAGGCAGCAGGCGCGCAAAUUACCCAAUCCCGAUACGGGGAGGUAGUGACAAUAAAUACUGAUACGGGGCUCUUUUGGGUCUCGUUAAUUGGAAUGGAGAACAAUUUAAAUCCCUUAACGAGGAACAAUUUGGAGGGCCAAGUCUGGUGCCAGCAGCCGCGGUAAUUCCAGCUCCAAUAGCGUAUAUUCACAGUUGUUGCAGUUAAAAAGCUCGUAGUUGGAACCUUGGGUCUGGCUGGCCGGUCCGCUCACCGCGAGUACUGGUCCGGCUGGA
rnacentral:rRNA from 1 species